rnacentral:rRNA from 1 species
GAACCGGACGAACGUUAUUCGGAAUCACUGGGCUUAAAGAGUCCGUAGGCGGCUUGGUAGGGUGAGGUGUGAAAUCCCACGGGCUUAACCGUGGGAAUUGCGCUUCAAACCACCAGGCUUGAGGGAGAUAGAGGAAAGCGGAACAGAUGGUGGAGCGGUGAAAUGCGUUGAUAUCAUCUGGAACACCGGUGGCGAAGGCGGCUUUCUGGGUCUCUUCUGACGCUGAGGGACGAAAGCUAGGGUAGCGAACGGGAUUAGAUACCCCGGUAGUCCUAGCUGUAAACGAUGAGCACUGGGUUGAAGGGACUUCCACAUCCUUUCAGCCGUAGCGAGAGCGUUAAGUGCUCCGCCUGGGGAGUAUGGUCGCAAAGGCUG